GACGAACGCUGGCGGCGUGCCUAAUACAUGCAAGUCGAACGCAGUGGGGACGGGUGAGUAACACGUGGGUAACCUCCCAUCAGAGGGGAUAACACUUGGAAACAGGUGCUAAACCGAUACUGAUGGAUGGACCCGCGGUGCAUUAGCUAGUUGGUGAGGUAACGGCUCACCAAGGCCACGAUGCAUAGCCGACCUGAGAGGGUGAUAGGCCACAAUGGAACAGAGAUACUGCUCAGACUCCUAAGGGAGGCGGCAGUAGGGAAGAUUCAGCAGUGGACGAAAGUCUGACCGAGAAAAGACGCGUGAGUGAAGAGGGUUUGCGGAUCGUAAAACUUUGUUGUUAGAGAAGCGGUAUCUAACCAGAAAGCCACGGCUAACUACGGGCCAGCCGCCGGGGUAAUAC
rnacentral:rRNA from 1 species